rnacentral:rRNA from 1 species
GACGAACGCUGGCGGCGUGCCUAAUACAUGCAAGUCGAACGCUGAAGGAGGAGCUUGCUCUUCUGGAUGAGUUGCGAACGGGUGAGUAACGCGUAGGUAACCUGCCUGGUAGCGGGGGAUAACUAUUGGAAACGAUAGCUAAUACCGCAUAACAGUAGAUGUUGCAUGACAUUUACUUGAAAGGUGCAAUUGCAUCACUACCAGAUGGACCUGCGUUGUAUUAGCGAGUUGGGGGGGUAACGGCGCACCAAGGCGACGAUACAUAGCCGACCUGAGAGGGUGAUCGGCCACACUGAGACGGAGACACGGCCCAGACUCCUACGGGAGGCAGCAGUAGGGAAUCUUCGGGAAUGGACGGAAGUCUGACCGAGCAACGCCGCGUGAGUGAAGAAGGGUUUCGGAUCGUAAAGCUCUGUUGUAAGAGAAGAACGAGUGUGAGAGUGGAAAGUUCACACUGUGACGGUAUCUUACCAGAAAGGGACGGCUAACUACGUG